GGUAAGAUGGCCGAGUGACAGGUGGUGGGUUGUAGCCCCAUAUACAGAGGUUCAAGCCCUCUUCUUAUCA
rnacentral:tRNA from 1 species